UACGUAGGGGCCGAGCGUUGUCCGGAGUUAUUGGGCGUAAAGGGCGCGUAGGCGGCCUGAUAAGUCGGGGGUGAAAUCCUGCGGCUUAACCGCAGGGCUGCCUUCUAAACUGUCAGGCUAGAGCACAGUAGAGGCAGGUGGAAUUCCCGGUGUAGCGGUGGAAUGCGUAGAGAUCGGGAAGAACAUCAGUGGCGAAGGCGGCCUGCUGGGCUGUUGCUGACGCUGAGGCGCGACAGCGUGGGGAGCAAACAGG
rnacentral:rRNA from 1 species